rnacentral:rRNA from 1 species
CGCCUCGUGAAUUCAUCUCCGGGGGUAGAGCACUGUUUCGGCAAGGGGGUCAUCCCGACUUACCAACCCGAUGCAAACUGCGAAUACCGGAGAAUGUUAUCACGGGAGACACACGGCGGGUGCUAACGUCCGUCGUGAAGAGGGAAACAACCCAGACCGCCAGCUAAGGUCCCAAAGUCAUGGUUAAGUGGGAAACGAUGUGGGAAGGCCCAGACAGCCAGGAUGUUGGCUUAGAAGCAGCCAUCAUUUAAAGAAAGCGUAAUAGCUCACUGGUCGAGUCGGCCUGCGCGGAAGAUGUAACGGGGCUAAACCAUGCACCGAAGCUGCGGCAGCGACACUAUGUGUUGUUGGGUAGGGGAGCG